CCAUCCCACAGCCUCACCACGUUGCCGUUUAGUAACGUCAAAUCCAGAAACCGGUACCAGUCCUCUCCUCUUCUCAUUCUCAACACUCUCUCCCAUACCUCCCACCACUCUCCACAACCCUCAUCUUCUCUGUUUCUCCACUCUCUAACCGCCGUUAACUCUCCAUCGCUCUCUCCCUCAUCCUCGUAAUACAUUAUAAACUUGCCCUUGGUAAUUUCCUCAUUGCAAACAGACGGGAUAAUAGGCGCAGCCAUAACUGGAGAAGCAAUAGAAGAAACCUCAUCCGUCGAUGUCCCCA
rnacentral:lncRNA from 1 species